GGGAACAACAGCUGGAAACGGCUGCUAAUACCCCAUAGGCUGAGGAGCAAAAGGAGGAAUCCGCCCAAGGAGGGGCUCGCGUCUGAUUAGUUAGUUGGUGAGGCAAUGGCUUACCAAGGCGACGAUCAGUAGCUGGUCCGAGAGGAUGAUCAGCCACACUGGGACUGAGACACGGCCCAGACUCCUACGGGAGGCAGCAGUGGGGAAUUUUCCGCAAUGGGCGAAAGCCUGACGGAGCAAUGCCGCGUGAAGGCAGAAGGCCCACGGGUCAUGAACUUCUUUUCUCGG
rnacentral:rRNA from 1 species